GUAGUUCAUGCAGUAAACGAUGAAUACUAUAAAAAGAAUGUAAAGAAGCGAAAGCGAAAGUAUUCCGCCAGGAGAGUAUAGCUUCAAAGUUGAAAUCCAAGACAAUAGACGGUUACAGUUGUAGGCAGUGGAUUGUGUUUUUUAAUUCGAUAAUCCCCGAAAAUCUUACCAUUAUUUGAAUCAAAUUAAGAAAAAAGAAAUUAAGAAUGACAAAUGUUACAUCGUUGUUUAAAGUCUGUGCUUUAAGGUUAUGAUUAACUUCAUAAACAGACGAAA
rnacentral:rRNA from 1 species